AAACUGCUAAGUGCAGUGGAGCCCCCCUACCCAGGCCUUGUCUCCUGUUCCCCACUCCCUACCACACCCCCGGAGCCUGCCUUGAGGGCUUGGAGAAGGAAAGAGGGAGCAGAAGAGAGAGGAAGGAAGGAAGCAGACAGGUCUUUCUGAGUCACCUCUCCUGGCCCAGCUGUGCUCCGGGAAGCUGGGGAGCUCAGUCCUGACCCCCACGCCCACCCUCAAGGCCCCCACCCCCAAGCGGAGGAGAAAGGGCCCGAACCAGCUCUCUAGGCCUGCGUCAGAAUGUUGAUGUGCUUUCUGUCCACCCUGGGGUCUGGCCUCAGUUGUACACACUCAGUGUUUAGAAAUUUUCUGGGUGUGGUUUUCAUCUUCAAGUGAUAGCUGAGGAGCCCUUCCUCUCCUGUCUGGCCUGGCCCUCUGCACCUUGCUGGAGGAAGGGACAGAGCCCAGCAACAGAGCACCCAGCUCAGAGGAGGAGCCUGCCCCUGUGGUGCUGAGGCGGGCCCUGCAGGGGUUACCUCCUGGCCCUUCACGAAACCAGCGUACAGCCUGGCAUCCUGAAGUCAGGGAGCCCACGAGUGCCCCAAACCAUAUCUGGCCAAGGCCUCAGCCAACUCCCAGGCACCGGAGCCCUGCCAGGUCACCCCCCGAGGCUGCCUCUGGACCUCAGCUUCCAAAUCCUCCACCUGAAGGUGAACAGGGCUUCUCUUAGGCUCCUUCUGGAGGCUCUCAGCCCAGAUGGGUGACAAACCCAGAGCCCUUGGGUGACUGAUGAGGCCCCCUCACCGACCUCGGCAGGAGGCUGGGGUGGGAGGGCCUUGCCUGAUGAACUCACCCCCGAGGAAGAGGCUUUCUGUGAAUGUGCUCAGCUCCAAGGCUCUGUAGUUAGGAAGUCACACAGCCAAACUCAAAAUGGGAAGAGAUUUGGUACCUGGCAAGAAGACCAUAUAUUAAGGGGUAAUUUUUCUCCUGUUAUAAAUCCAUUAGGAAAUUAAAAAUCUAGGCUGUGACUUUAAAAUAUGGAAUGGAAUUUUCUUCAGAGCCCGCAGGAGUGGGGGUCUCCAUCCUGGUGAGCUGGAAGGAGCAGAGCAUGGAGGAUCAGUGGAGGGUGGACCCCUCUGACAGGAUGCAGUCACAGCGGCCAUGUGGCCCCACCUUCUUCAAGGUGGCCUGGGGAUUGCAGUCCGCAGGAAGCCGAGGACCCGGGUCCAGCAAUCGGUGGCACUGUCAGCCACGGUGGGUAAAAUUGCCGAGAUUCUUUCUGGCGGCAGAGUUUCUGGAUGGUUGUCCCUUUCGUCCCCACUGUCAUCAGGACAAACCUCUGUAGAGCUCAUUUCAUUCCGCCGCUAGUUUCCUCUGCAUCGGUGUCCCCCCACCUGCCAAUGCCAUGCCCCUUGCAGCAAGUGCCACGCUGCAUUCCUGAUUCUUUCUGUCCCCAAAGCACCCAGCACACUGCUUUGCAAAGAUGAUGCCCUCAAAUGUUCACUGA